rnacentral:rRNA from 1 species
UCAGGAUGAACGCUAGCGGCAGGCUUAACACAUGCAAGUCGAGGGGCAUCGGGAGUAGCAAUACUGCCGGCGACCGGCGCAAGGGUGCGUAACGCGUGAGCAACAUGCCCGUAUCAGGGGGAUAAUCCAUGGAAACGUGGUCUAAUACCCCAUAGUAAUUAUGUAAGGCAUCUUAUAUAAUUUAAAGCUUUGGUGGAUACGGAUUGGCUCGCGUGACAUUAGCUGGAUGGUAAGGUAACGGCUUACCAUGGCUACGAUGUCUAGGGGUUCUGAGAGGAAGGUCCCCCCACACUGGAACUGAGACACGGUCCAGACUCCUACGGGAGGCAGCAGUGAGGAAUAUUGGACAAUGGAUGGAAAUCUGAUCCAGCCAUGCCGCGUGCAGGAAAGACGGCCCUAUGGGUUGUAAACUGCUUUUGUAUGGGAGCAAUAAGGGCUACGUGUAGUCCGAUGAGAGUACCAUACGAAUAAGCACCGGCUAACUCCGUGCCAGCAGCCGC